rnacentral:rRNA from 1 species
GACGUAGGAGGCGAGCGUUGUCCGGAUUCAUUGGGCGUAAAGAGCGCGCAGGCGGCUUGGUAAGUCGGAUGUGAAAUCCCGAGGCUCAACCUCGGGUCUGCAUCCGAUACUGCCCGGCUAGAGGUAGGUAGGGGAGAUCGGAAUUCCUGGUGUAGCGGUGAAAUGCGCAGAUAUCAGGAGGAACACCGGUGGCGAAGGCGGAUCUCUGGGCCUUACCUGACGCUCAGGUGCGAAAGCUAGGGGAGCGAACAGG